GCUGACUUGUGUAUUAUUACAUGAUAUUUCCCCCUAUGAUUGUAUAAUACUUGUAGAAGGUAUUUCUACAGUGUGCUCUUUGUGUAUGAAGUCCUUAUUGAUAAUUAAAAGGGUGACUUGUAGAGAGAUCACAAUCGAGUGUACCCGACAAGGAUCUGCAGAGUUUGACUGUAGAGAAACUCCGUGCUCUUCUGAAGGAGAAAGGUCUUAUGCUGAAGGGCAAAAAGGCAAGUCACGUGUCUUGUAGCCAGUGUCAGGUUUAUUUUGGGUUUGAAUUUCCUUUGGGGAGUAAGGGUGAAAUUUAAAAAAUAAAAAAUAAUAAAAUAUUAAGUAUCCAUACUCUUGGCAAUGACAUUACCUAUUUUCUUAGUACCACGACUGUUUAAUCCACCUUACUAAAGAUGCCAUUAAUGAUUUUGUAUAAGCAUUUGAUGAGCACGCAUAGCUUGAUGCUAAAGUUUCACAAUUCUAUAUUCACAUCCUAUUCACUCGUGUUUUCAAUUCCAUGAACAGGAUGAUUUGAUUGCACGCUUGAGAGCUGCAAAUGGCUAGAAUGCUACCCGAGAAGUUGAAGAGGCUUAUUGAUCUUCAAUACUUUGUACCAUGUGGUUUUGGAAAAGCAUGUGUAACUUAGUGAUAGUAUGGUCUUGAACUAAUUUAAAGCGUCGUCAAGCAGCACUGCAUUUUGUAUGUUGCAUCAAUAGGUCAUUGUAUUAGAGUGAAAGGGGUACAGGCAUGUCUCAGUGGUUUAGUUGAAACUGCGAAUCUGUGAAUUUCACUUUUGCAGUUGGUUAAGAAAUUUUCGUUGGUUCAAUUUGUGGCAAUAACUAUCUUCUGCUUUUCUUGUAGGUUAAUGUAUUGAAUUUGGCCAUCUAUCUAUUAUAUUUUAUGGCAACACGAUUCAGUUUCAAUCGAUUUGUCCUAGCCCUUGUUUGUGCCCCACUUUAAUGAUGUUUU
rnacentral:lncRNA from 1 species